rnacentral:rRNA from 1 species
AGGAAAAGAAACCAACAGGGAUUGCCCUAGUAACGGCGAGUGAAGCGGCAACAGCUCAAAUUUGAAAUCUGGCGCAAGCCCGAGUUGUAAUUUGUAGAGGAUGCUUCUGGGCAGCGGCCGGUCUAAGUUCCUUGGAACAGGACGUCAUAGAGGGUGAGAAUCCCGUAUGUGACUGGCGCGCACCCUCCACGUAGCUCCUUCGACGAGUCGAGUUGUUUGGGAAUGCAGCUCUAAAUGGGAGGUAAAUUUCUUCUAAAGCUAAAUACCGGCCAGAGACCGAUAGCGCACAAGUAGAGUGAUCGAAAGAUGAAAAGCACUUUGGAAAGAGAGUUAAAAAGCACGUGAAAUUGUUGAAAGGGAAGCGCCUACAACCAGACUUCGCGGCAGUGUUCCGCCGGUCUUCUGACCGGUCCACUCUCUGUCGCGAGGCCAUCAUCGUCUGGGCCCGUCGGAUAAGACCUUGGGAAUGUAGCUCACCUUCGGGGGAGUGUUAUAGCCCAUGGUGAUGCGACGCGGCCCGGGCGAGGUCCGCGCUUCGGCAAGGAUGAUGGCGUAAUGGUUGUCGGCGGCCCGUCUUGAAACACGGACCAAGGAGUCUAACAUCUAUGCGAGUGUUCGGGUGUCAAACCCCUACGCGUAAUGAAAGUGAACGGAGGUGGGAACCGCAAGGUGCACCAUCGACCGAUCCUGAUGUCCUCGGAUGGAUUUGAGUAAGAGCAUAGCUGUUGGGACCCGAAAGAUGGUGAACUAUGCCUGAAUAGGGUGAAGCCAGAGGAAACUCUGGUGGAGGCUCGCAGCGGUUCUGACGUGCAAAUCGAUCGUCAAAUUUGGGUAUAGGGGCGA